AUUAUUGUGUUGAGAAUGGUAGAGAGUAAAGAUCCAAACUUUUUCCUAAGUGUUGGAACUCCUCGCAUGUGCACACAGUUAGUAGCUAGGCCUCGUUACUCUAACGUGAUCAGCUGUGUUAAAAUAUAUGUGGAGGAAGGCUGGAAUGUACCGUGUCAGGCUGGGAUGGAGUUAAUUUUCUUUAUAGCAGUUCUUUUGGUGGCAGCCUUUGCAUUUGUGGUUAAAAGUUGGUAACAUGCCAGUGUUUCGGCUGUUGCUGAAUGGUCUUUGCACAGCAUCCAGGCUUUUUCUCCAAGCUUCUUGUUGGGGACAUGAGGAGUGCCAUCACCAGUCCAGAGGAUGAAGUUUGGCUGCCACAAGAGUCUCCACAUGGCAAAGAUGGAAAAAGGACCUCCUCUCCCAUGCCACGCGUAAAUGUCAUGUGCACAAACUCACAGCUGACCCACAAAGAUGAUUCAAGCGCUAUUAGCUAAUGGGAGCAAUUAGUGCUGCCGGGCUACUUGUGUGGCAGAGCAGGGUUUGUUAGGGUAGAAAUGCACACAGAUUUCAAGCCUGGUGGUGAUGCAGUCAGAGCUCAUUAUUGGAAGAAAUUUACAGUAGUGGAAAACUGUGAGAAGCCCAAGAACUUCAGCUCGGUGGGUCUGAAACGUGUCCUAGUGCUGGAGCAGAGCCCCUUCGCCCUUCCCAGGAGAGCAGGGGCCACCCAUGGCCAUGGGCUGCUGCUGUGUGUGGUGAAAUUUCAGUAUUUCCCCAGCAAAAGCCAGCAUUUCUGAAGAUAUGCCCAAAGGCUGAACUUCAGGGUAUGAGCUCCUCUCGUUUACAACUCCAUUUGAAAUGGCUGGGACCAUAAUCUGACCUCUGGGUGUUGGCUGUGUGUGUGUGUGUGUGUGUGUCAGAAAUGUCUGUUUCUCCAUAAGAGAAGCUCACGGUGCUUGUUCCUGCAUCCUGAAUCCAUAAAACCCUUUAACUUCUCAGCUGCGGCUAUUGAUACUUUUCUUUUCCCAAGUUAUUUUUCUCCCUUAUCUGCUCUGGGGACUUAAUUACACGAGCAGCAGCUAUGUGAUGGAUCGAUACCUGACGCAGAGCAAGAGAUGCUUCCUCACGGCACUUCCUGAUGCUUGGACCAUACGGGAGCAUCCCGACCAACUCUGACCUCCGCUGCCAUCUGCACAGCAUUGACACAGCAACGAUGCCUCCACCAACACAGGCGCCCUGCUGCCCUCGAAGGACCCAGCCCCGUGACCAGAGGCUUCUGAGCGAAGUGUUUGCUUCCCUCAGCAGAUGUGGUGGGGCUGCCGUGGACCUCCUGGAGAUGGUGACCGAGGUCUGGGCUUGGAGCUGGGUAACAAAGCAGGGAAGUCUGCAUGACCUGCUAAGUACCCAGAUGUGCAGAAGGAGGCUAUGGGAUCAGUUGCUUACACUCUUUUAGGAUGUUCUGCGCCACCCCAACGAAGCAAUGAGCUGUGGUAAAUCACCCUUACGUACCCUGAUGCUUUAGUUAAAAUGUUUCAUUAAGCAGCUCGAGUUGAAUGUCUGGAAAAGUUUACACCUCCCACAAAUUCUCCUCUGCUAAUGGAAAAGUCAUGUAAACAAGUAUCGCUUUAUUAUAUCCAUUGUUCCAGUAAUGCCCCUUUCCAAAUGGGAACGGCUUAAAUCAAAACAAUUUAGUCCUUGUCUCAAUGUAAUUGCUCUUCUGGCCAAUUUUAUUGAGGGGAAAAAAAAAAAAAAAAAAAGAAAGAGACCAUGAAAAUACAUUCACAGUCGCAUGUCAGUGGGGAAUAAUGGCCCCAGCCCUCACGCUGAGCGCUCUUGGGAAGCCUCCUGUGUGGCACGUUUAAGGAGCACUUGCAGAGCUCGCAUUGGCCCUGCAGCCGCUGAGCUUUCUGCCCCGUGCCUGCUCAGCCUGGUGGAUGUGUGCAGUGACUCUUACCCCAUGGGCACGGCUCUGGGGGUCUUUGUGGGGCUGGGACCCCGCUGAUGCUCUGCUCGGAUCCUCUCCCACAACUGGCCCGAGCUUUUUGCUGCAGAGCUCUUGGGCCUGAGGUGUGGACAGCCCUCCAGCCCUAACAGCGCUGUUUCCCUGACACUUUUAUUCCCACCUGCUCUUUGCACCACCUACACUGCUGGUGGGGGAUGCUCUCACACGUCUCCCUUGAAGCUGUGCUGGGACGGCGGGGCAGGACCCGCAGGCUCAGCUCCUUCUGCAUGUGUCAGGGCAGGGCAAAAGGCUCCGGCGAGCAUCGCUUUCUAUUCAGCCGUCUGAACCCUGAAAGCUUGCAGACAAUUUCCCUGUGGGGUCUUGCACUCAGAGCUUUUAAACUCUGUCCCCAGCCCUGCUUUUCAGCUUUCUCAGCGACCUUGCAUGAAUUGCUCAGCUUCCUGGGCCCUGGAGCAACCCUCCUGUGAGAGCGGCACCGACCUGACCCCGCGCAGCGGCUGGGAGCCUGCGGGGUGCCCCGUCCUACACGCAGGCCAUUAUUUCCUACAGAUCACCAGGCAAAGCUAUUUCAAGAGACGGCGUUAGUGCAAGCACUCCUUCUGCAUCUUUGAUCGCUUGUCUGACAUCGAGUAAGGAGAACCAGAUGCUGUACCAUACGGGGCGCUUUGAAUUCUCUGCUCUGUUUUGGGGAGAAAAAGGGGAAAAUGAGACCAAGGCAGUUACUGGAAGGCAAGCCAGACGCAGCCGAUCACUGUGCUAUGUAUAAAAUAUUUAAUUCCACAGGAUGAGUCACGCUGACUAGGCUGCUAUUGACCUGGGUAACCUUAGUGAAUAUUGCAUAAAAGGCCCU